rnacentral:tRNA from 1 species
GAGGGUAUAGCUCAGUGGUAGAAUGCUUGCUUAGCAUGCACGAGGUCCUGGGUUCAAUCCCCAGUACCUCCA